rnacentral:lncRNA from 1 species
AUUUGCGCAACAUGAAGUAUUCAAAAAACUAAAUUAAAAUGGCGGACGCAUCAAGAGUGAAGAGUGGAGCUUUAUAAAACCAUUCAACAAUUGUCUUUUAAAAGACAACCAAAUAAAUAUUUUGAAAAACAACUACUGGAAGAUAUCUCCUGAUUCAGAUUUAUGAGCAAGAUAAUCAUGCUUCCAUGGUCAAAGUAGCUCUUCUGAGUGUGUUUCAUCAUCGACAUCAAUGCCAUGUGGGUCAACAUCACUGAAUGAAACUGCUUCAAUACGAAAGCUUACAAGUGAAGAUAUAGAUAGGAGAGGAUAACAUCCCAACCUAUACAUUGUAGUUAAAAUAUAAUAACAAUAUCAACCUCAAAUUCAACUAAUAUUUUGUAUGCAAUCAAGCAAAAUUUGGAAAUGCUGGUUGUUAAUUUUACUGCAAUUAUUACACAAGAUAUGAUUACACUCCUUUAUCAUUACCCAAUGCUGUCAGAAUUGCUAUCACAUGUGAAUGCAAUAUAAUUUUUGUACACAAUCAUUAUUUAAUUAUUGUUUUCAGCAUAAAUUAUGCCUUAUAAGGCCUUCUCCAGACAAUAUUUAUUGCAAGCUAUAUGAUAUUUGCUCCAAUAUUUGGCUAUAUUUGUGAAAGAUACAGUUGCAAGCUCAUUAUGAUCUAUUGCCUCGUUAUCUGGUCCUUAACAACAUUUCUUAGCACACUACUUAAUAAACACCUAUGUAAGCUUUUACUGAUUUCAUACAGUGAGUUAGAAGUCAGAUAUGUUAAAAAAAGAAGGAAAAUGGUAGGUUAAUCAAUAGUUUGGUAUGUUCUUGGUUCAAAAGUAUCUUCCGCAUUUAGUGGUGGCAAUAAUUUUAUAAUAGAGAAAACACAGGGUAUGUAAACAUGUGAAAUAAACAUGUUAUUAUUUGAUGUGUUUCAGGUAACUCCAAUCUUGGGUGUGCUUCUUAUCAUCUUGGGCUUUAUAUCUGUUGUUUGAACCUGUCUAGGGGCAAAUUGAAAAGAGUCAGGGUGAUAUUGUUGCAGACAAGGAUGUUAUCAUUCGUCGUUCAUUGUUGAAUGAUGCGAAACAUAUGUUACGCUGAUACAGACAGAGCCACAGCAUCCGCAGUCCUUAUAUUGUGGGUUUGCUAACCUCAGGAUGGUCCAAGCGUGGCAAAGGUUCCUGUCCAAAUUGUGGUUUGCAAUAUAGUUGCCGUUACAAGCCACCAAGUUGUUCAGGAUGCAAAUUUUGAGCUUGGAGGAUCAUAUGUCCCUAAAAAAAAGCCUCGUCCAAUGGUGCCUAAGUGUACCUUAAUGGUGCAGCCAUCAGACGGGUUAUCAAUCUACUCGGUUAAUACCAGUACCUAUGAUGAUCGAUGUAUUGUGGUUCGUUAAGAGGCUUGUACAAACUACUCAUACAACUACUAAACAGAAUAGAGCCAUUCAUAUUAACAGCCAAAAAGUGGCAAGCUUUAGUUGUCAGCAUUUGGAAUCCACCAGAGAUUGUACAACUCCUCUUCAGACAUUCAAUGGGAUAUCAGAUGAGGUCAUUUCCAGUUAUCUCUGUGAUGAUGAAACAAAAAAAACCCUGGCAGAAGUGGCAAAUGCAUCAAAGGCACAGUCAUUUCCAGUUGUGGUGCAUGUUUCUCCAACUAUGUAUUGCGUCUUUGGAAUGGCAACCACAAACAACACUGUUGGAUAUUGCCAUGUCAAGGUAACGGAAAAGGAAAUUAAAUGCUGUUCCAAAGACUGCAAAGGUAUGUUGAAGAGCAAGCAGCAAAAGUCCCGAAAAGUUUGCACCCACAUCCAUCUUUUAUUGGCUCUUGGCAUUUUUACACACAACGAAUGUGUGUCAGCAGAUCUUCGCCCAACAAUAGUGACAGACAGUUCCUUGACAACAAUUGACAGAAGUGGGAGCAAGUCUCGCAAGGCAACCAUGGGACUUAAAAUGAAGUUAAAGUUGCCAUAUGUCAUUCCAAAACCCAUUAAUUCAGGCAGCAGGUAAAAUGGAUUUUUCCGUGUGGCCAGAGCAGUUUGAACCAGACCAAACUUUGUGUGAUUUGUGUAAAAGUCCUCUUGGUCAGUCCAAGCCACACCCAAAUCAACGUGGGCGAUCAAUCAUAAUGACCAAUGGAUGUCCAUUCAAAACAGUCAAAAUGCUAGUCAAAGAUUGCUCAUGUUGCUUUGCUAUGCACCAAGUGUUUCCCUACACAUUAGGUCUGUUUAAUAUUAGUGACAAGGUUCUGGUGGCACUUGAAAUUCUAUUAGAGUUCCGAGAAUUGUUCAAAAGAGGAGUGCCAAUUUCUGUAGCCAUAAAAAGUAAAUUAGCCUUGAUGGUCCAGAAAGUUGAGGAAUCGCCAACAGAAAAUGAGUUGGAAAGUAUUGCUACACAUUUAUACAAUGGGUUUUAUUGCUUUGAGGCAAUAACUGAAUGCAAUAUGGAUUCAGGUGUUUGUGGAAUUUGUAGUACUGUUGGUGAAGUGUAUUUUGGGGAUGGGAAUGAAAAAAAUUGCUGCAGCAUUAGCGAGAUUGAUUACUAACCACUACAAGAUAUAGAUUGUGAGGAAGAUGAUCCUAUUUCCCUUGAGAUGUUCUUGGAGAAAUUAAAAUACAAUUUGGUGGAAAAAACAACCUACACACGAUCGGAAAAGGCCACUAUCCACUUUUCCACCAUUCCACCAGUCAUAGCCCCAUCAUUGAGAGGUACAAAAUUGUUCAACACUGAAGGGGAAAAAAAAAGUGCUUUUCUCAAGCAAUAUGGCAAACCUAAUGAAGGUGAUCCAGCUCUUUUGCAUCAUUGGAUAUCCACUCAAGUAGUUGACAUGAACACAAUUGAGCAAUGCAGUGUCGAGAAGCUGAAAGAACUUUGUCAUUUGUGUAAUAUAGCAAUUUCAGGCAAAUCAAAGAUAUUUACUGUAAUUUACGAUUGUGACUUGGUAUUAAUUUGCACGAAAUAACUUG